GCUGGGCACAGUGGCUCAUGCCUGUAAUCCCAGCACUUUGGGAGGCUGAGGUGGGCGGAUCACUUGAGGUCAGGAGUUUGAGACCAGCUUGGCCAACAUGGUGAAACCGUGUCUCUACUAAAGAUACAAAAAGUAGCUGGGCAUGGUGGCACAUGCCUGUAAUCCCAGCUACUCAGGAGACUGAGGCAGGAGAAUCGCCAAGAGGCAGAGGUUGCAGUGAGGCGAGAUCGCGCCACUGCACUCCUGCCUGGGCAACAGAGUGAGAUCCCAUCUCA
rnacentral:sRNA from 1 species